GAUAGGGAAAUGCGAAAUCACCUCAUCAUUUGAAUUCAGAAAGAACUUUAGGCUGACAAUGGUCUCUUUCCAGCCAUCCCAUGGGAUCUUCAAUAACCAAAGCUGUUAUUCCUUUCUUAAGAAUGCAUUGAACCAAUCUUGAAUGUAAAGUGCCCCUGAAAAUAUUGGGACAGCAAAGUCAACACUGUUACAUACUCUCUCCAAGAUUCCACCUCCUCUUCAGUUCUCAUCUUGUGCCUCUCUUUCUUCAUCAAUAAACUCAAUACAUCAUCCAAGGUAAUGGGGACUCCCUCCACCACCUC